UACGAAGGGUGCAAGCGUUGCUCGGAAUUAUUGGGCGUAAAGCGCACGUAGGCGGCUUUGCAAGUCGGAUGUGAAAUCCCUCGGCUCAACCAAGGAAGUGCAUCCGAAACUGCAGAGCUUGAGUACUUAAGAGGAUCGCGGAAUUCCCGGUGUAGAGGUGAAAUUCGUAGAUAUCGGGAGGAACACCAGUGGCGAAGGCGGCGAUCUGGAAAGAUACUGACGCUGAGGUGCGAAAGCGUGGGGAGCAAACAGG
rnacentral:rRNA from 1 species